UACGAAGGGGGCGAGCGUUGUUCGGAAUUACUGGGCGUAAAGGGCGCGCAGGCGGCCUUUCAAGUCAGAUGUGAAAGCCCCGGGCUCAACCUGGGAAUGGCAUUUGGGACUGGAAGGCUCGAGAUCGGGAGAGGAGGGUGGAAUUCCCAGUGUAGAGGUGAAAUUCGUAGAUAUUCGCAAGAACACCAGUGGCGAAGGCGGCUAACUGGUCCGGUUCUGACGCUGAGGCGCGAAAGCGUGGGGAGCAAACAGG
rnacentral:rRNA from 1 species